UUCUCAGUGCUUUCUCUCCCGAGGGUUGCGCGAUUAGGGAUGGCUAGGUCCAAUGGCAGUCUACAAUCGAAGAGGGCUGCGUCCGGCCAUCUAUUCGCGCCGCCGAUACCAUCCUCGGCCGUUGCUCACAGAGUGCACUCGGCGGCUAGGCCCUUCAAGCGCCGCGCUGGUGGCCGUCAGCCGCCCUCCACGACGGGUGGUGCAUUUGACUGGGAAUCUGGGAUGCGAACAGGGUAGCUUCUAGGGUCUCCGCAAGGCGACGAGCGGUGCACCGGUGGGCACAACGAGCGGUUCGUGAUGCAUUGGGUGUGGCGGCGGCCGGAGUUGCUUCCCAGGUUUCUUCUAGGCGGCGGUUGGCGCAGAGGUGGGCUCACCGUGGUUGACUAGCUUGCCUCUUUCCUUGAAAUCAACAACCAGCCAAUUCAUGCAGUUAUGAUCCGCAACAUGGAACCGAAGAAGAUGCAAAUAGUAUGGCGGGAUACAACUAACAAGUAUGACUCCAGAGUGUACGCGAUGCGUCAUAUGGAGUCAUUUACUGGACAAGAUUGUGUAGAAUGGGAGUGCGGGUUGAUAAAAGGGGACACAGAACAACUUCAAAACCUUCAAAAGCGUUUCAUGCAUAACAUUAUUAUGUCGGAUGUAAAUGAGCACAAGCCAUCAGUAUCUACUCACGUUGCACAGUAUGACCGUGAAAGGUCAGGCAAGGCUACCUAGCACAAUCGGAACACUACAACACUAUGUUUUUAUGGUUUUGACUAGUUUUUGGAUAGUACAUCAAUGUUGUU